rnacentral:lncRNA from 1 species
GCUCAUUGGAUGUCUCCACCUGGGAAAGUCACCUGGGGCCCCACAGGUUUUCUUCUGCCCCUGCCAUCCAUGAGACAGCAAGACCAACCCCUCCUCUUUCUCCUCCUCUUCAGCCUCCUCAAUGUGAAGAUGAUGAGGAUGAAGACCUUUGUGAUGAUCCACUUACAUUUAAUGAACAGUAAAUAUAUUUUUUCUUCCUUAUGAUUUUCCUAAUAACAUAUUUUCUUUUCUCUACUUGCCUAAUUGUAAGGAUACAGUACAUAAAAUAUACAUAACAC